GAUGAACGCUAGCGGCAGGCCUAAUACAUGCAAGUCGAACGGUGUCUUCGGACAUAGUGGCGCACGGGUGCGUAACACGUAUGCAACCUACCUUACAUUGGGGGAUCGCCUUUCGAAAGGGAGAUUAAUACCGCAUAAGCCAGUAACUAGGCAUCUAGUAGCUGUUAAAGAUUUAUCGAUGUAAGCUGGGCAUGCGUCCAAUUAGCUAGUUGGUGAGGUAACGGCUCACCAAGGCAAUGAUUGGUAGGGGAACCGAGAGGUCAAUCCCCCACACAGUCACUGAGCGACGGGCCAGACUCCUACGGGGGGCAUCAGUAGGGAAUAUUGGGCAAUGGACACAAGUCUGACCCAGCCAUUCCGCAUGCAGGAUGAAGGCGUUAUGCGUUGUAAACUGCUUUUAUACAGAAAGAAACGACUCUUGCGGGAGGCAUUGACGGUACUGUAUGAAUAAGCACCGGCUAACUCCGUGCCAGCAGCCGCGGUAACAC
rnacentral:rRNA from 1 species